AACCGAUGUCAAGAGUUCAGAAAACAAACUAGGAAAUCAGGAAUACAAACCGAAGUCAAUGUCCAUAAAUCAAAAGCCGGGAAUUCAAAAAUAUAAACAGGGUCCGAAGCAAGUCUGGAGGAAACCAAGGUCAGAGUCCAGAAAUCCAAGCAAGGGGCAGCAGAGCAGGACAAGGAUAUGAAUUGGCUGUUCCACCUGAGCUAGUCCACACAGGUUUCUUCAUUUAGAGAGCUCAGCUGAACUCAUCUCAUCCAGUCUCGCCUCUAAUCACUGAAGCCUGUGAAGGUUUCCUUGUUCCAAAGGCUUAUUAACCUUCCCAAGCUUGCUGGAAAUACUGGGAAGAGCCAUCAUCUGCUGGUGACCUGCCCUCAGGAGUAGCCAAGCCAAACAGACUGCUGGCCAUGACAAUUUCAGAAUGAUUGGUCAUAUAGACUGAUUUUUGAUACUCUUCAGAAACGUGGCAGAAGAGAUCUUUCUUUCUAAUUACUCUUCAAGACACCGAGAGACCCGCAACCUGCUUAUGGCUCUGUAAAGAAUAUCCCAGUUUCAGCCCAGCUCCCUUCUAACCAUGACGAUGGUGAGAGAUAUGGGCCAGUCAAUGUUUUUCAUAUGUAUGGAAAUCAUCCUUACAGCUUCUAACAAGAAGAGAUCCCACAGCAGGCUUGGUUUAUGGUCCUGGGUCACUGAAAUCUGAGAUUGCAUUCUGAGACGUUAUUCCCACAAGAGACUCCACUGUAUUCCCCUCCUGCCAUUUGCACAGCAUUAUCCAAGGUUUUCUACCAAAAAGGAGAAGGGGGAUGAAAAGAAAGAAAGAACUUUGUUUCCUUCAGGCAAACCUUGACACUCAGUGAAACCAUCAUGAGCCCUUUACAAAUAGCCAAUACGGAUAAAUACCUUGGGGAGAUUAAACAGAUUCUAAAAUGACCUCAGUAUCCUCGGCAAAAGAGAUUGUUUUUCCUUUUGUGCAAAUUUCUUCCAAGGCGACGAUGUGAAUCUUUGUUCAUGUGAGACUCUUCUGACUUUUGGAA
rnacentral:lncRNA from 11 species